rnacentral:lncRNA from 1 species
AAAAUAAAGGCAAAAAGUACAGUGACAAGUGGAUGGGCCCUGAAGAUUAACAGAAUUUUUAAAAUAUCUUAAUUCUCAGAACCAGCUCAGUAUUUUUUUUUUUUUCUUUUUAGGCCCACACCUGAGGCACAUGGAGGUUCCCAGGCUAGGGGUCAAAUCAGAGCUGCAACUGCCAGUCUGUACCACAGCCACAGCAACACUAGAUCCAAGCCACAUCUGCAACCUACAUCACAGCUCAUGGCAAUGCUAGAUCUCAGAAAAGAUUACAAAUUAAUACAGAUUACAAGUUACCAAAAAAUUCUUAGUGUCUAAAAAACAUAGCUGUGAGAAAGCCACUAAUAUUUUUUUUUUCCUUAGUAAGCAAAAAGCCCAGGUGUUCCCAUUGCAGCUCGGUGCCAACAAACCCGACUGGUAUGCAUGGGUUUAACUCUUGGCCUCUGGGUUAAGGCCCCUGGAGUGGCCACUGACAAGCAUGUAAGCAUCGUUUUUCUCAAUCAUUUACUAUAUUCUGGGCGCUAUAUUGAGAUCUUUACAUGGAUUAUUUUAACACUUAAAACCAACCCAACAGUCAGGAUCAGUGUUAUUUUCAUUUUUCACAUGAGGUAUCUGAGAUUCUUGAGAGGACUAACAAUUUCCCUGAAGUCACACACUUAAAGGUUGUUGAAUCUAGGAAUCCAGCCAGAUCUGUUUGAUGACCAACACUGAACUCCAACCCACUGUCUCCCACUGCCAAGUACCAUUUACACCCUACUUUGAUAAAGGACAUACAGGAGCUAAUAGAAGAGCGGGGCAUCCCCACGUACAUGGAUCAGUGGUGUCAUAAAUGAGGCGGUUUCAGCUUGGGUCUCCUGUCUCCUGAUCUCAAACCUCCCCACAAUCUACACAUCUUCGUAAGGAAUACAUUUCCAAAGAGCAGCAUCUCCAGCAAUCAUUCCUUAGGGGAAGAAAAAAUAUUUCUCUGCCUGAAAGACUGCUAUUUUAAUGUGUUCAGUUUUUCACUCAGCCUCAAACAAGCAUUCUUUAAAUGCAAAUUUUAAAAUCUUUCUUUUUUUUUUUUUUAAUGGCCUUGCCUGCAGCAUGUGGAAGUCCCUAGGCCAGGCAUCAGACCUGAGCCAUGGCAGUAACCUAAGCCAUAGCAGUAACAUGCUGAGUCCUUAACCACUAGGCCACCAGGAAACUCCAAGUGUUUUUUGUUUUGUUUUCAUUGGUUUUUGGUUUUUGUCUUUUUAGGGCCACACCCAUGGCGUAUGUAAGUUCCUAGGCAAUGGGUUGAAUAGGAGCUGCAGCUGCCAGCCUACACCACAGCCACACCAGAUCUGAGAUGCAUCCACAGCCUACACUGCAGCUUGUGGUAAAGCCAGCUCCUUUAACCCUCUGACAAGGCCAGGGAUCAAACCCACAUCCUCAUGGAUACUAGUCAGGUUCUUAACCUGCUGGGCCACAACAGAAACUCCCAGCCACGUCUUUUCAUAUAUGCAUUUUUUCAAUUAGAGAAGAAAGGAGGAAGAAGGUUAUGCAGUCAGGCUUUGAAUUGUACCUGUCUUUCUCAGAUUACAACUCACUCUUUGCCUCAAAGAAGCACAACAAAAGGUAACUCCUUCCCCACCUCUGAAGACCUUUAGACUGAAAUACAGCUUGGAGGAGAGAUUACACUGGAUUUUCAAAAUGAACUCCAUACAAUCAUUUGUCUCCAACUGCAUUUCCCCUGUAGGCAGUUAAGUUAUUCCCAACUUUUUAUUUUCAUUUAUGGGGCUGUCCAAAGAAAACUAAAUUGGUUUGGCUGCAGGGAAGUUGACAGCUGCAGAAAAGAAUUAAAGACAAAACUGUGUUCACACAGAAAGAAAACACAGGGACAAUGGCCAUCUCAUUUUGGUUAGUCUUUGACUAAGCAACACAGUGUGCGUAGGGGAUUGGGAGGGGGGUCCAGUGGGCCUAUGCACUUCCUAGAUGUCAGUUACAGAAUGACUUGUGCUCUAUUUCCUACUGCGUCUUUUCAUAUAUAUGGAUAGUUAACCUCUAUUCCCUAAGGAAUAAGUUAAUCAAAAACUCAGGUGUUACCUUCUCCAGGGACAUAAUGAAGAUGCUGGUCUAUUUUCCUAUGCAAUUAGUUAUACCCUGUGACCUAAAAAAUUAUUAGGUUGCUCCAGUCAUGUCAUUAUAAAAUGUUGUUGAUGCCUUCAACACACCCUUAAGGAGGUCAAGAUUUAGAGAUAAUUUGCUUUGAGUUUAGUUUUGGGCUAUUCUUAAGAUUUCAUUAAAAUAGAUCCUAAAGUUUAAUAUUGUUGAAUGUUAUAAUUAUUUAACUUCAUUUUCUCAAAGAUUCGCUAGGCGAGUUUUACCAAGAGGAUGAAACCACACAGGACAUAGAGGCAGUUGUGUUUUUCCAAGUCAGACUCUAGAACAGGGGGUGGCAGUUUUUUUUUCUAUAAAGGGCCAGAGAGUAAAUAUUUUCAGUUUUUUAUGCCAUACAGUCUACUGCAGCCACUAAACUCUGCUGUGGUAGCCUGAAAGCAGCCAAAGACAAUAUGAAAACAAAUGAGUAGAGCUGUUCUGUUAAGAUUUUGUAAUACCAGGCAGUAGACCAUAUGUGGUCUAUAGGCCAGCCUGCCAACCCUCCCUAGAUCAUAACAAGAAGCUGGAUUUCUAAGAGUGGCUGAUCUAUCUGGCAUCACAAUAGAGGAUAUUUAAAAACUGAAUGACAAAAAAAAUAAAUGAAAACUGAGUGACUUGGGUGUUAUGCAAUUAUUCAUUAUUGUAUACAUGUAUAUGUUAUGCACUUGUCUGCAUAUCUGCAUAUAACAAAGUUAAGGUUUGGUUUUUUUGUUUGUUUGCUUUUUUAGGCAAAUGAUGCAGGGAUCCAGGGAAGCUGGUCAGCCAAGGCUUAGAGGCAGGAUAAAAAGGGAAAUUUCCUGGAUAGGUCAAAGAUUUCCUGAGAUGGAGAAAUUUUGGAGCCGGAAAAAUCUUAAUGUUUUUUAGUCCAACCUCGUCCCCAAUGGGGGAAUUCCUUUUGCAACAUCCCUGGCAGGUGUUCAGUUUACUUCUGAGAAAAUACAUCCAGGGCUGGGUUAGAGGGCAAGAGUAGCACUUUACAAAGCAACGUUGGCCCUCUAUUCCAUUCAAUAAAAAUUCCUGUGGACACCAAAAGCAAAUGCAACAGAAGCAGAAACAAACAAGUAGGACUACGUCAAAAGGGAGAAGCUUCUGCACAGCUUCUGCACAGCAAAGGAGACCACCACCAAGAUGAAAAGGCAUCCUAUUGAGUGGGAGAAAAUAUUUGCAAAUCAUGUAUUUGAUAAGGGGUCAAGAGCCAAAAUAAAUGAGGAACUCAUACAACUCAAAAGCAAAAAACCUCAAAAACCUGACUUAAAAAUGGACAGGGGAACUGAAUAGACAUUUAUCUUAAGAAGGCAUACAAAUGACCAACAGGUUCAUAAAAAGGUUUUCAACAUCAUGAAUCAUGAUCACAAUGAGAUACCACCCCACAUCUGCCAAAAUGGCUAUCAUCAAAAAGACAAAGAGAUAGCAAGUGUUGACCAGGCUGUAGAGAAAAGGAAACUCUUUAUACUCUUGGUGGGAAUGUAAGUUGGUGCAGCCACGAUGGAAAACUGUAAUGGAGGUUCCUCCAAAAAUUAAAAAUAGAACUACUAUAUGAUCCCAGCAAUCUGGGUGCAUAUCCAAAGGAAACAAAAAUAAGACUCCAAAGAGGUAUCUGCACUCUUAUGUUCGUUGCAGCAUUAUUCACCAUCAUCAAGUGAAAAGGUUCCUGGACCCAAUUCCAAUGUGUGUCUGUGGAAGCUUCCCCACACUAAUAAGUCACCCUCAGCCACAAAUGGGUGUCUGAGAAUUCAACUCAGUUCCACUGAGUUUUGAUUCUAUCUACCAGGAGACAGAAUCAGAUUCCCACAGGUAAAGAGCUCAGUCUGACGAGACUGCCAGAGGCCAUCUACAAGCCCAAGUCAUUCUCUAUGCUGACGGACUGCCUCCAAAUCAGAGCUUCCAACGAUCCUCUCCUUGGCUUUAUGUCGUUAGAACAGGUCAUAGAACUCGAAACAUUUUGCUUACUAUAUCACUGGUUUAUCAUAAGGGACACGGCUCAAGAAUAGCUGGAGGGAAAAGAUGCACAGGGCGAGGCGUGAGGAAAGGGCACAGAGCUUCCCCGCCCUCUCCCUGUGUGCCAUUCUCCCAGCACCUCCACCUGUUCACCAACAGGGAAACUCUCCGAACUCUUCCUGUGGGUUUUUAUGGAGGUUUCAUUACAUAACAAGUCAUGCCUAAGUUACUGGCCAUUGGCAACUGAUUCACCUUCCAGCUUCACUCUCCACCCUGAAAGAGGAAAGGGAGAGGGGGGACUGAAUGUCCCAACCCUCUAAUCACAAGGUUGGCUCCACUGGCAACCUAUCCCCAUCCUUAGGUGCUUUUCUUUUUUUUUUUUGUCUUUUGUCCUUUUAGGGCAGCACCUGCGGCAUAUGGAGGUUCCCAGGCUAGGGGUCUAAUCAGAGUUGUAGCCACCGGCCUACACCACAGCCACAGCCACAGCCACGCCAGAUCCUUAACCCACCGAGCGAGGCCAAGGAUUGAACCUGCAACCUCAUGGUUCCUAGUCGGAUUCAUUUCUGCUGCGCCACUAUGGGAACUCCCUUAGGUGCUUUUCAAAAGACACCUUGAUCAUGUUCAUCACUUAGGAAAUACCAAGUUUUAGAAGCUUUGUGCCAGAAAGGGGGAUGAAGACCAAAUGCAUAUUUAUUAUAAAUCGCAUUAUUAUGGAAAGAUAUAGGAACGACCUAAAUGUCCAUCAGUGGAUGAACAGAUAAAGAAGAUAUGCUUUAUACCUGUAUACACGGUGGAAUAUUAUUCAUCUACACGAAAGAAAGAAAUCUAGCCGCUUGAGACAGCAUGGAUGGACCUUGAGGACAUUACUUAAGUGUAAUAAACCAGACAGAGAAAGACAAAAGCACAUGCUAUCACUUUUCUAACAAUAGAAAACUGGUCGCUGGGGAAAUAUGAAGAGGUUGGUAAAAUGGUACAAACUUUCAAAAAUAAACAUUUGC